AUUUUCCUGAGGCUCAGUCGGUAGAGCAUUGCACUCGCAACUCCAAGAUCAUGGGUUUGAACCCCAGGGAAAGCA